rnacentral:misc_RNA from 1 species
CGUGCGUCUCCGAAUCGGCGCAGCACGGCCGCCCCGUCGACCCUCUCUGCGUGCUCUCCGUUCAUCCGUUGUCGCUCCCCUCCACCUCAUCGAACCUAAGGUGCUCUGCUCGCCGAGGCCACAAGCGCGUUGUUCCAUACCAAGGCAGAGAAAAGACGGAAGGGCGUGUGGAUCGAGAUCAACAACGACGGCGACGACAACCAGAGCGCGAGGAGCAGCACCGUCUCCACCGCCCCACCCCGCACGCCGCCAUUGCCAGGGCUCCCCCACCCCACCCCCGCACGCCAUGACCUCCACAACCCCACCCCCGCGCGCCAUCUCGCCAGGGCUCCCCCACCCCCGCGCGCCGUCUCUCCUGCACCAGCUCUCCCUGCAAUCCCUCCAGCUCUCCCUGUCGUGUCGCCUCCACAGCGCCCACCGAGGUCCCGCUAGUGUGGCCCCCGACCUCGUCGCUCAGUGCUGGCGCGAGAUCGAGGCCAUCGGCCCCACCACACCUCGAUUCGCCAACACCGCCGACCCGGGCGCCUCGCCCUCUGCCUUCGACUCCAACACCGGCUCGUCGCUCGGCCACAUCGGGUGCCUAUGCUCGAUGUAUCGCGCUGCCUCUCUGUCCUCAUUCGUUGCGUCCGUCCUCGGCUUCCUCUUCCGCCUUCCCCGCGAUGCCUCCCCGCGUCAUCGCCCACCAGCAUCAUCGCGCAGGCCUCGCUUGAGACAGACAUGGCAGUGGAUUGGGUGUUUGGUUCUCUUUGCAGUAGCAAUUGGAGGCGAACAGGAAGACACUGUAGAGGCACUCUCGCGCGCUGUUCAACGUAGUGGCAGCAGAGGUGGCAUCAAGGGGCACCGAUGGCGGCAACAUGCUAUCGCAGCGUGUGGCGGAGAGACAGAGGUCAGACCUGGCAAACAGGACAGGGAAGGGGACGUGAUCUCCAUGCAAGAGAACAUGUCUGCCAGGACACUCACGCUCUCUAGCUCCACGCAGCAGACAAUUGUGCGGUUCGUUAAGCUACCAUUGGUUGACAAGAUCACCGCUUG